ACCUUAUUAUGUCUCCUCCGCGCAAAAAGAAAAACAAAAUUUCCCAUCCCGUCUCUCCAUCCCCCAAUUCCUCUUUCAGCCGAGAUCCAUGGGCCAUGACUCUGCCGCCACGACCUCCGGUUCGGCCUAGCUCCGGUGCUCUCCCACGCCCUUGCUCGCUGGCCCUAGCUCCCCCCUGAGUACUAUCCUCUGAUCUUCCGCCGCCGUGACAUCCUCUGGGCCCUUGCACGUGCCCCUUCAUAGUCUCAACGAGUCAUCGCUGCAGCUCCCUGCUCCUCCGGUUCGUCAACUUCUCAUUAACCCCUGCAUCUCCACGCGCAUGGUUGCUGCCCCUGGCUUGACGGUGCUGCUCCGCCUGGCUAACUCCACUCCGACAACAAUGGUUUGGUUAAUAUAAAGAUAAAAAAGGCACUUGAGGUAAUCAUAUUGCGAAUUUCAUGAGUUCUAGGAAGAUAAAUAGGACCAACGAUGAUGAGAGCAUGUCAAUGACAUCAUAUAUGUAUGCAGUAUAGCGGCAACUAGCAGGAACUAUCUUCAGGAUAUGGAGCUAUGGAUGCCAAGAGAUACUGAUCAUUUGGGUUUUAGUUGAUGAAGAUUGAACAUGUCAGUCUAGAUGCUCCUGUGCUGAGCUUAGGUUUUGUUUUAUGCAAUGAAGCUUUGAUCCAUUUCUAGGUACAGUGCACAUGUUCUUGCUAUACACAUGUGUACAAGGUGGAUGUAAUACUUAGAACAAAGCAUAUCUAUAUACAAUAUCAUGUACUUUGGAUGGUGUUCUUUGUAAAGCAACAUUGUUGAUUUAAUAUAUGCGGUCUUUCUUACUA